UCCCAGUAGUAAGGGGUUUGGAGAGCUCCCAGGUGGGUGAAGGCGUCCACGUACCAGGAAGGUGACACACCCCAACUUCAUGGACAGAAGCUCCUAAGCUCAGGAUCCUCCCAGACAUCGCCCUGUGGAUCUCAUCUGGCUGUUCAUCUCAGAGUCCCCCAAAAAUAUAGCCACCAUUAACCCCCCUCCGAUGGAGUUUCCUGUUUGGGAGAAAACACUCUCAGCACCAAGAAGUGAGAAUUCAGCUGCCAUAAAUUCUCCUCCAGGGGGAUUUCCAGCCAGGAAGGAGACGGCCCAUUAAAAUCAAUAUGAAAAAGCCCAAUAAAAUCAUCCAUGUUUUCCCAUUGAAGCCCUUAACACCCCCUUGUUCCCUGUUAAGCAGUUGUAUAAACUGUAUGAGUAUACCCACAUAUAUGUAAAUAAACUUUGUCUUUUCUCCUGUGAAUCUGGCUAUUGUUUGUUCAUUUGCAGGCCCCCACCACUGCACUCUGACCUAAGUUGCUGGAGGAAAAGUUUCCCCCCAACAAAGAGCAAAUGAUAAAGCAAAUGAGACAAGAUGUUGAUGAUAGAACCCUGCCUGACACUGCCAUGUAAGAGGCCUCGUGUGACCUACUGGACAAGGAGAGGUCACAUGGAAAAGAACUGAGGCCUUAAUCAACUGCAAGACAUAUGCAUGAGGCCAUCGAGAACCAGCUAUUCCUCAGCCAACCUGCCAAGUAUUAAAGACAAA
rnacentral:lncRNA from 1 species